rnacentral:lncRNA from 1 species
UGAAAUCAAAUACAACACAUUUUGAAUUCUGUAAAAUGAGAAAUUUGAUUCGUAGUGAAGAGUGGUCAGAUUAGUCAAACAGUGAAACAGGGGAAACUUUAAGAAAAAUCUGGUAUUGAAUGGCUAAACCAAAAAUUCUGAAAAUUUUAAGGAUGGAAGAUAUAUGAGUUUAUAUUCAGAGAAAAUUAACGGUAAUUGAUUUGGAGUUUUGUAGCUCCAGUUAUAAAUAAUUCAGUGACUAUUGCUCAGGAAAAACAACUUGUGCUGAAUUUGAGAUUAUGUUGUAAACCUUGACAAAACUUGUUUUAGUUGCUCAUAAGCUAUUGAUUAAACCCAUACGUGAAUUCUAAAUUGUGAUAUUGUAAAAUGGUAUAUGAGUGAUAGAUGUAGAUUCAGCCAAGACAAAGUGUAUACGUGAAAGUAUAUGUGGUAUGUGAAGUAUAUUUGGAUAAUUGUGAUGUGAAUACAUGAAAAUUUAUAUUUUGAUUUAGGAUUUUAAUGUGAUGAAUAUGAACAUGCGUAUGUGUGAUAAGGCCGAAUGACCAAUGUGAUGAAUGUGAACAUGCGUAUGUGCGAUAAGGCCGAAUGGCCAAUGUGAUGAAUGUGAACAUGCAUAUAUGAGAUAAGGCCGAAUGACCAAUGUGAUGAAUGUGAACAUGUAUAUAUGUGGUAAGGCCGAAUGGCUAAUGCGAAAUGUGUAUGAGUUAGAUAUGAGAUAAAGCCAAAUGGCUAAUGUGAAACGUGUAUGAGAUGGAUAUGUGGUAAAGCCAAAUGGCUAAUGUGAGAUAUGUAUGAGAUGUGUAUAUAUAUAUUGUGGCCAAAUGACAAACAGCGGAUGGUGUGUUUUAUUAGAUAUUGAUGAGGUAAAUAAAUUACAAAUAUGAUAGUCGAUGUGAAUGCUGUAACAUGUGAAUAAAUAUGCAUGAAACUCUGUGAUGUAAAUCCGGGAUUUAAGGCCCGAUGACUAUAUGUGGUGACUAUGUCCGGGUUAAGACCCGCUGACUUCGUGUGGAGAUUUCAUCUGAGCUAAAGGUCCCGCCGAUAAUCCGAGGAGAGUUUAAAGCUAUAAGACUUCGUAAUAAGAAUUACUUAUAAAUUUACUCAAUGCGAAAGGUUAAACAGGUAUGUACUUCAAGUUUAUAUGUGAGCUUGAUUUGAACUAAAUCAUAAGGUAGUUAUGUGAUGCAUAUGAGAGCAAUCUAUGAGACUAUUCCUAUGAUUAUGUGACAUCGGAUCAGUGUGAGAGGUUAUGUGAAAUCAUACAAUAUAUCUAUGUCACAUGAGCUCACUUUUAUGUGAAAGUUUAUCUGCUUAUUGUAUAUGAUGAGAUGUGCAUAUUCGGUAAAGGGAUGGUAUGCCCGAAGGAAGAGUGAAAUAAAAAUACGAACAACUAUGUUAUAAUUUGAUUGUUAUCUUUUGACACUGCUUAAAACUUACUAAGCAUUGUAAUGCUUACUCCGUUUACUUUGUUUUCACUGUUUUAUAGAUCUCAUUGCGAAGCUACAGGCUCGGGGAUCGUCAGCAACUAGUCACACUAUCACUAUCCACUGCUUGUUACUGUUAUGUCUAGAAUUAUUUUAUGGCAUGUAUAGAAUAGACUAGUGACGGAAGAAUAUUUUUGGUUAAUGUAUAUAAGCCAUACGAAAAUGGCAUCUUUUGAAUGUUUACUUAGAGAAG